UCUCUCUACAGCUGACUUUUACUUUUGUGGUCAUUUAUAUGGUGGGAAAAAUAAACCAACAACAGUCGAUGGUAAUAUAAAUGAAAUAAAAAUUAUUACAACUGACGAACAGAACGUAUUGCGAUGAUAAAAUAUUUAUAAAAUAUAUUUUCACGUUCAAUAGGAAGGAUUUUACAGCGUUGUUUACAAUAUGGAACGAAAUUAGAGUAACAAUUUAAUUUCAAAUAAAGUGUUGAACUACAAAUUAAAUAAUUCAAUUAUAAGUUUUUCGAUAAUAAAUUCUUUAUUUCUCCCUUCAUUGUAUAUACAUUAUUAUUUAGUACAAAAAUUUCACACGCAUACACUGACACACACAUUACUAUCCGUGCUUAAUUUUCACAAACUGCGUUCGUGAUCAUUCGAGUUUUGAAUAUCGUUUGUUAAGUAAGUUUAAUUAUUUUUCGCAUCCUAAUUUCUGGCUUAUUAGGAUAAAACGUAUAAAAAUUUACUGACCUAGGGAUAUUUUUUGUUCGAUUCUUUAACAUUUAUUAUACUACAUCAUUAAUCUGUAUUUUUUGUUUUUCAAUAACUGCUUCAAUUUUUUUAUUCAUUAUGUACAUCAUCACAAAUCUGUGCCCAUAUUACUUUCGAAUAUCUCUGGAAUAUAUAUACAAUUGCUACAUGUCUUCAUGAAGUGCUUGUGCAAGCGCCAUCUUUUUCCAGGAAAAGGGAGUGUGAGCGCGAUUUCUGAUUUAAUCAUUUUUAAUUUAAACACGAUACGUCAGAAUAUUUUUUUACCUAUUAUAAUCACUUACAUAUUAGUAUUCUACAUAACCAAAUUGAAUGUUGUUUAAUAAAUUACUGUAACAUGAUAUUAAUAAAUAAUUUGAAAAGUAAUUUGAUAAAUAUUAUGUAAGGACUUUAAAGGAAGCUAGAAAAGAAAGGUAGAAAACAGUAUAAUGUUAAUUACAGCAACUAAAUACAAGUAUCUUUUGUAUAACAAAACAAUGAAGACAUUCUGUUAAAUUUUUCGAUGGAAAGAAAGUAUCAAAAUAAACUGAGAAGAUAAAUUUAAUUUAUUUAUUUAGUUAUUCAUUCAAAAGGAGAUCAUGCUCAUCACACGACGUGUUUUCAUUCGUCCUGCGCAUGUCACUUCGUAACCAAGAGUAACGCGCGUGCGCCUUUAUGUCAUUCGUGACAACAAAUAUAUAUAUGUAUACAUAUAUAUAUUGGUAAUCUUUUAUUUUGUGUACUUUCUGCAUCUUUACUUUUUCUACUUAUUCAUUUAAUGAUUAUUUUGUUUAUUGUAUAUAUGACGACGGCGUUCACUAAUUGGUGAAGAGUCAAUUGAAAAUAACCACGAUACACGAAUUGAAUAUGAUCUCUCGUUGAAUGAAUAACUGAUAAUACAUUUUAUCCCAUACUAUUAAUUUCAUCACUGUAAGUAGGCUAUUAAAUGAGCCGUUUGUAUAGACAUUUAUGCAUAAUAAAUCAGUUACAUGUGUAUAAACCACGAGCAUAGAAAUAUAGGGAUGAUCUGUAAGUUUGGAUUAUUCAUUAGAGUGAAAACAACAUAAAAAGGAGAUCUUAGUAAUUGAUGCCUACAUUUAAUUGGUUACUGUUUUGCGCAUGUCUGUACCGCCAAUUACGAGAAAUUAUGAACUACCGAUUAAAACACAUUUUUAAGUUAAUAGCAAGUAAACCUUUUUUUUACACAUGCACCACUAUUUUAAAAAUUUAGAUUUUUAAGCUUAGCAAUUUAGAAACAUCAAAUUUAAAAAUUUUUAAUUUACAAAUUUUAAAAUUCAAAAGUUCUAAAUUUUCAAUUUGGUGGUGCACCCAAUGGCAGUUUUAUGGCUUCAUCCUGCAAUUGUAUACUCUAUCCCUAUAUUCCUAGAUACAUGGUAUAAUAAACCCAAUAACACUGAAAUCUAGCUGCUAAAAAUAUUUGAUUAAAUUGAAAGUUAAUCUCUUCUUCAAACAUUAUAAUUCAUCUAACCUAGUAAUACAUAUAUCAACUUGGUUCUAAUAUUGUAAUAAGCCAUGCGAAUGGCAGUAAGAAACACUCCAAAUAAUAAUCAUGGACAAGUCAAGUAAGUCGUAGGGCAUGGGAAUUUAUUUCUUUAUAAUUGUUUAUUGAUCUUUUUGUAUCAUAGUUCAGUGAUUAUUUCUUAUUUUUUAAAAUUGAAUUUAAAAAUCACAUUUGUUUUAACUCAUAUUUUCAUUGAACUGCUUUGUUCAACCAUUGAAGGUUAAAUUCAAACUUAAGUACAAUAUAAUGUAAUGCAGUUAUUAAUUA